rnacentral:lncRNA from 1 species
UCCUUAGACUCUCUCGAUUUCUUCCUCUUCCGUGUCAGCACAGACUUCUCAUCUCCUCUGGCCAUUUUUGUUCAGGCGCAGGUUCUCAUUUGCUUCAUCUUAUGUUGUAUCGCAUUCCAUUUACAUGCUUCAAUCUUGUUUGUUCUAGAAAGAUCAUGAAAUGAAAAUUGAAACUCAUUUAGUCCAUUAAUUCUCAUAAUUUCUACAAUCAACAUAACAGUAAGAAGCCUACAUAUGAGGAUUAUGCUGUAAUUCGUGCAACAUUAUAGAUAUUGUCUUUUGAUAGAAUAGUCAUUAACUAUUUACAUAUUUUUCCUUCAAAUUGUAUUCCAUCUGUUGUUUCUUAAGAAAAAAUAGACCAUGCUACUUUGUCACACAAACCUGAUUUGAGGUUUCAUUAUGUAGGGAUGUUUAAUUUGCUUACUCCUUGCUUUAGGGUGGGCUCUU